AUACUGUACGUGCUGCCAGAGAGUUCAACCUUAAUGAAAGAAUUCUUGCUCGAUACUGCGCCAGUAUGGAAGAAGCAGAUAUUUACAGUGACUCACCAACACCAGCUGUAAGUGUUGGCUAUACUUCUUCAAGAAAAAUUUUCAGCGUAGACGAAGAGGCAGAACUUGUAGCUUACAUUAAAAAGGCAAGCGAUAUCUACUUCGGAUUAAUUCCCAUUGAAGUUAGGAAAUUAGCUUACAACUAUGCUGACCAUCUUAAGUUGAAAAUUCUUGGAUCAUGGGAGACUAAUUUCGCUGCAGGAAAGGACUGGUUGGAGUCUUUCAUUAAAAGAAAUCCUAUUAUCUCAAUUAGAAAACCUGAAGCCAAUGCUCUCUCCUCCGAAGGAAAAACCAGUAAACAUAAAAAUUUUAAGACACAAUAAAAGAUAAGGACGA